UAGAGAGUAGUGUACUGAAGCACAGGGGGUUUUGAUCCCCCAGGGGCAGGUUCGAGUCCUGUUUUUCUAA
rnacentral:tRNA from 1 species